GUUGACAUAGACAAAAAGUCUAGGUAGGCUUUCCUCCGGAAUGCCUGCCGGCGGUACCACCGCCCCAUGAGUGAUCCGCAAUCGGAGCCGAGGGAUCGAGCCUCCAGCAAAGAGCCAAAGUUACCCAUCAACGUCCAGGCUCCAUGGAUCCAGCCUCACUAGUCGGGGAUACGGUGGUCCGCAGCACCGGCACGGGAAGGGGGAUGGCGGCGAGAAAUCAUGACGAGGGCAUGUCGGCCAACAGCCCACAAGGCGCAUGUCCUCACCACCGCGGGCGCCGCCCCCUACCCUAGGGACGCCGGAUCCAGCAGCCACCACAAACCCGGUGCCCUAAGCCAUAGCUGCCGCACCACCUCCUCCGGCACCGGUCUCCCCCUUGUGGGCAGCCGUGUCCGACCGUGCUAGGCACCGCCCAGCUGCGUCCAGCCGCGCCAGGACUGGAUCGAGCUGGGGCCUCACUACAUCCGGCCGUUGGGGGAGCGGAUCCGGCCGCCGGCCGCCUGCCACCGCCGAAGCCACCAUCCAAGUGCUAAUAGGUAAAAAUGCUAAACUUUAGCACUAGUGUAUCCAAACAUGAGUGCUAAUAUGAUGAGUUAAAGUUUAGCCACGACUUAAAUAUUUUAGUAAAAAUGUGAGUGCUAAGAGGUGCUGAAGCUUACUCAAUCAACUUUAGCCCCUGCUGUUUGCAUGCCUCCCGCCUGCUCGCUUUUUGCAAUUAGCCGUAACCUCUCACAUGGGACAUGACGGGCACACAUAUCAGGCUCCCGCUUCCCGUCAGUCCUUUGGAGCAAAAGUAUGCAUCAAAAUUGAGGCACGAAAUCAUUUGGCACCUUUAAGAAAAAUUAUUUAGCAAUCCACCCAGACCGUACCAUUCAUAUUCGAAUCGGGUAAGAAUCCUGCAAAUUCCUAACCCUAACCCCCAACUCCAAUAGCUUUAAAAUAAAAGUCCAAAUUGAGGGUGCACCUAAUACUAGCUAAGCUUCCCGUCGCCUACUUGCGCCUAUUCCCUCGGUUCCAAAUUAUAAUUUGUUUAACUUUUUUUACCAUAAAUUUGACGAGUCAUCUUAUUUAAAAAUAAAAUUUGUGCAAAAUAUUUUUUUACUUGCUUUAUUAUUACAAGUUCUUCAAAAAUAGUUUAAAUUUGUAAUUUUUUUACAAUGUUUGGGGGAAAAAUGGAUGGCUCACGUCGCUCGAUCCGACGGCUGAUAGGUAGAGAGGUACCUAAAAGAGAGGUACCUAUCAUGGACCAGGUGCAUGCUAAAUUGUGGGCCAGUAUGCGCCAGGUAUCUCCUUUUCAUGUGGACCCCUCGCGAAAAAGAAUAUGACGGGUAAUUGCCAUUCCGGGAUUAAUUUUUUGUAUCAGGGGUAAAAUCAUCAAUCCAUAAUGAUUGGAAUAAUGUUUAAUUAGUAUAUUUUGAUUGAAUGUUUGGUUUAAUAUAGUUUGAGCCCACUAAGGUUGAUCCCUAGGUCGGCCCUAGGGUUCAUGGCGGACUUAGGGUUCCUGGGUUAGCGAUGGGGGCGCGCUCCGGCGACGGAGGGGAGGGAGAGAGGCUACGGCCAUGGCGUCAUCAAGCUCGCGCUCGUCACGGUGGUCCACAUCGUCGUCUAGAGGAAGAAGAGGUUGGGAGAAGGAGAGGUUCACGGCGUCGGUGUCGGACCGAGUAGGCCCGUAUGACUACUCUCCGGUGGUGAAGUGUCUCUGCAAUAGGAAGGCGCCUUGCUGGACAUCAUGGAGCGACGACAACCCUGGCCGGAGGUACUACAGAUGCCCUUCAGGAUUGAAGCCCGGGGAUUGCGGCUAUUAUGCGUGGAUUGAUCGUCAGGCCACCGAGUAUGAGCGGAUUCUGUUGUGUGAUCUUCGUGAUGCUGUUUGGUAGUUGAAGAAGGGGAAAGCAGAGGAGCAGCAGCGGGUUCAGAGGGUUCAGGUGGAAAAUGGAGAUCUAAGGCAGUUGAUAGUGCAACUAGAAAUGGAGAAGGAUGAUUUGAAAAAGAAGAUGGUAGAAAAGGAGCAGCUGGAGAUCAAGGAGAAUAGAAACUUCAGUUGCUUUCGUAGUUGCAUUGUAGUUUUUGCUUUGUUAGGACUGUUGUUUGAACUGAAGUACUCAAUGAUGUGACUUGUUCUGUUAGAGCAUGAGCUUUUGUGGCUACCUUUGUGUUACUGCCUAAUCUUUCGAUCUUUUGAUGUAAAUGUUGGCUCGGCUUGCAUCCUAUUUCAAUGCAAAAGGAACUCGUUUUCCAAAUGCAGUGGAAAA